rnacentral:SRP_RNA from 2 species
GUCGAGCUUAGUAACUUGGGCUUGAAACCUAAGUGGGGACAUUAAUGUGGUGGAAUGUUGGGCUGUCCCAGAUGGUUGGGCUUGGUGGGCUAAUUUCAGGCCUGCCCUAUCCAAGCACAGAGUUGGAUCAUGUGGGCCCAAUUGAAAGAAUGGGCUGCUUGAUUCCUAAAGUGGGGCGGACUGCGUGAGGCUGGUUUCACAGAGCAACGAUCAGUUUCCGCUCUGUGCAGUGGAAGGAUAAUGGACCGAUGCCUUUCAAGUCCAGUAACGCAUGAUGGGCUGCUCCAAUUAAACCACCACUUUU